rnacentral:rRNA from 1 species
AUUGAACGCUGGCGGCAGGCCUAACACAUGCAAGUCGAGCGGUAGCACAGAGAGCUUGCUCUCGGGUGACGAGCGGCGGACGGGUGAGUAAUGUCUGGGAAACUGCCUGAUGGAGGGGGAUAACUACUGGAAACGGUAGCUAAUACCGCAUAAUGUCGCAAGACCAAGGUGGGGGACCUUCGGGCCUCAUGCCAUCAGAUGUGCCCAGAUGGGAUUAGCUAGUAGGUGGGGUAACGGCUCACCUAGGCGACGAUCCCUAGCUGGUCUGAGAGGAUGACCAGCCACAGGGGAACUGAGACAAGGUCCAGACUCCGACGGGAGGCAGUAGUGGAGAAUAUUGCACAAAGGGCGCAAGCCUGAUGGAGCCAUGCCGCGUGUGUGAAGAAGGCCGUCGGGUUGUAAAGCACUUUCAGCGGGGAGGAAGGCGUUAAGGUUAAUAACCUUGGCGAUUGACGUUACCCGCAGAAGAAGCACCGGCUAACUCCGUGCCAGCCGCCGCCGUAA